rnacentral:rRNA from 1 species
UACGUAGGGUGCAAGCGUUUGUCCGGAAUUAUUGGGCGUAAAAGAGCUUGUAGGCGGUCUGUCGCGUCUGCUGUGAAAAUCCGGGGCUCAACCCCGGACCUGCAGUGGGUACGGGCAGACUAGAGUGUGGUAGGGGAGACUGGAAUUCCUGGUGUAGCGGUGAAAUGCGCAGAUAUCAGGAGGAACACCGGUGGCGAAGGCGGAUCUCUGGGCCAUUACUGACGCUGAGGAGCGAAAGCGUGGGGAGCGAACAGG